rnacentral:rRNA from 1 species
GAGGAGGAGUUCUGCAGUGGUAGCGGAGGCAAGCAGAAGAGGGCGCGGCCGCGGCAGCUCCGGUUCAGCAAGGUGAAGGGCGAGACCGUCCAGACGCGCCGGCGCACGCCCCGCAAGCAGAAGAGGGCGCGGCUACAGCAGCUCCGGCUCCGCAAGCUGAAGGGCCGGACGACACCGACCCAUUAAGAACAGAACGAUAUUGAGAAGUGCACGUCUCUUCCCUUCUUCUUCCCCUUUCCCCCACCGGCGGAUGUGGCGGAUGCGCUUCGUCCACGACGAGCGGACGUUGCCGCCGCCGCUGCGGCAGAGCGCCCCCCAGCGGCAACCGGAGCGGUCCGUGCCGACGUCCGACCAGGACCACCCGCUGCUCCCGCGGGACCGGCGCUGCCGCCUCCUCCGCGCCGCGUCGCGCCGGGUUCCCCGCCGCCGGUAGCGCCACCAACCCGACCUGAACCGCCGGACGCUGCUCCGUCGGCAGCCGCGGCGCCACCUGCGCCGCACCGCGACGAAGCCCCUGCCGCCCGAGGUGCGGGAACAGUUGACGACGAGGAAGCUCCCCCUUCACGUUCUAACGGAGUCGCACUGACUUCUACUCAUGUUGUUCUGGUACUUUCAGUUACAUUAGUGUGGAACCGAGGACUAUUUCCGCUAUCGCUUCGCCAAGGCCCUACGCGUCAGCCCGCCGAGGCACCAAACGAACUGGGUCUAGUAGCCGCGGCUCUCUCCUAACAUAGGCCCCCGACGCCGUAUGCCGUGUUCAAAUCCGCGGCAAGUGGUCGAACAGUCUGACAGCCGCUACCUCGAGCCGUUCGUGUUCUAGUCCCACUUGCGGCAGACGGCGCCGGAGGUGGACCCCCUGUUCAAGGGAGAGAGACAACCCCUCCUCUUCCGGCUCUUCCGCUGGCCCCUCCACUACGGCGACGCCGCCACCGACCUGGGUCUGUUCCUGGAGCGAAGGUGCCACGACAUGGACCAGCCGCUGCUGAGGGCGAAGUACUGUCCGUGGUGGUAGAUACAGCUGCCGCGUGUCAGGUAACACGCGGGAGCGUACGCAAGGAAGGACAUCCACCUGGUUCGGCAUAGUUACCGCAAGCCUCUCUUGCCUCGUUGGUUGAUGUAGGCGUAGGUCCCAUUGCCGUAAUGGCGGCCUCGCUGCUGCCUCCGCCGGUACCGCCUCGCCCCCCACCUCAGCCAGGACAAGGCCCCCUUCUUCGACUACGGCGUCUGGUUGCUGCUCGCCGACCUGCCGCACCACCUCGUCGAUAACAAGCCACGACGAUAAAAGGUAAGCGACGACCCAACGAAGAUGAGAGGUGGUUAGACAGUUCAUCGUUUCUCAUCCAAACUGGAGUUAAAGCUACGUCUGUACCUAACCCUACACUACGUACAUGAACGAUUAAUUCCCUAAACCUAGAACGGGAGUUAAUCUCAAGGGUUAGAGUUGCUUCACCCCAAAUACUUAAAAUAAUAAAAAAUCGAACUUACCUGACAUCGAAGCGAAUUAACUGACUGUCAACAUAAACUGACGUAUUGACCUAAUUAACUAAAGUACCGUCUACAGCCAAAACUGGAACCAA